rnacentral:piRNA from 1 species
UGAGCUGGGUUGUUUAGGGUUCGGGU